UUAGCUGCUGAGCACAAAGGCAGGAGGCAGGCGCCGCCUGCGGUGCACACACCUGACGGUGUGCCGUGGGGGCAGUUCCACCCGCGUCCGCAAGGACACGUCCAGCCCAAGUCGAAAUUGGUGCCAGGGAUUAGCGUGCGCUCCUGGGGGCGUCCGGCUGACCGCAGCGCAGCAAGAAUCGGCAUCUCCAGACUUUCCUCUUUAGUUUCUUCUGAUGGUUCAGCAGCAGUUUGAUAUGAAUCCAGCAGAGAACUUAUCUGAGCACUCAGGAAAGAAGGCCCGGCCCUUUGAAGCGCCCCACAGAGCCAUGUGUGUGCACCCCAUCAUGGGCUGCCCUGCCAAUCCUCCUGCAUGGGCCCCGAGGCAUCUUGGCUGCAGUAUCCCCACGUCUGGCAGCUAGAAUGUGAAUAAGGAGCCGGUCAGCUAGCCUUGACCACAGAGAUGAAGACACUCUGAGCAACAAGAUAGAAAGACCCUGGGUCUCCGGACAACCUCACGCAGCAGAGCUGUCACCCACUUACCUCCAGUCUGUUGCAUGAGAAAGAAACACACUUCCGUCUGGUUACAACACUCUGUUGGCCGGGUGUGUGGGGGGGGGGGCGGGGGGGUCACAUAU